AGAGUUUGAUCAUGGCUCAGAUUGAACGCUGGCGGCAGGCCUAACACAUGCAAGUCGGGCGGUAGCACAGAGAGCUUGCUCUCGGGUGACGAGCGGCGGACGGGUGAGUAAUGUCUGGGAAACUGCCUGAUGGAGAGGGAUAACUACUGGAAACGGUAGCUAAUACCGCAUAACGUCGCAAGACCAAAGUGGGGGACCUUCGGGCCUCAUGCCAUCAGAAGUGCCCAGAUGGGAUUAGCUAGUAGGUGGGGUAAUGGCUCACCUAGGCGACGAUCCCUAGCUGGUCUGAGAGGAUGACCAGCCACACUGGAACUGAGACACGGUCCAGACUCCUACGGGAGGCAGCAGUGGGGAAUAUUGCACAAUGGGCGCAAGCCUGAUGCAGCCAUGCCGCGUGUAUGAAGAAGGCCUUCGGGUUGUAAAGUACCUUCAGCGAGGAGGAAGGCGUUAAGGUUAAUAACCUUAGCGAUUGACGUUACUCGCAGAAGAAGCACCGGCUAACUCCGUGCCAGCAGCCGCGGUAAUACGGAGGGUGCAAGCGUUAAUCGGAAUUACUAGGCGUAAAGCGCACGCAGGAGGUCUGUUAAGUCAGAUGUGAAAUCCCCGGGCUCAACCUGGGAACUGCAUUUGAAACUGGCAGGCUUGAGUCCUGUAGAGGGGGGUAGAAUUC
rnacentral:rRNA from 1 species